rnacentral:tRNA from 1 species
CAGUAAAUAGUUUAAUUAAAAUAUUAAUUUUGGAGAUUAAAGAUGAGUUUUUUACUUUUUACUGA